AUUGAACGCUGGCGGCAGGCCUAACACAUGCAAGUCGAGCGAGCGGCGGACGGGUGCGCCAUGUAUGGGGACUGCCCGAUAGAGGGGGAUAAAUACUGGAAACGGUGGCUAAUACCGCAUACUAUCGGAUAACCGGUAUCGGAUUAGCUAGUGGGUGGGGUAAAGGCUCACCUAGGCGACGAUCUCUAGCUGGUCUGAGAGGAUGAUCAGCCACACUGGAACUGAGACACGGCCCAGACUCCUACGGAGGCAGCAGUGGGGAAUAUUGCACAAUGGGCGCAAGCCUGAUGCAGCCAUGCCGCGUGUAUGAAGAAGGCCUUAGGGUUGUAAAGUACUUUUAGCAGGGAGGCGUUACCUGCAGAAGAAGCACCGGCUAACUCCGUGCCAGCAGCCGCGGUAAUAC
rnacentral:rRNA from 1 species